UUCAAGCCGCGGCGCGGGGGCCGGGCUGCGCGUGUCGGCCUCAUGGCUUCCGCGGGGAAGCUUGGCUCUUUCCGCCUUCCCCCGUUGCCCACCAUUCGGGAGAUCAUUAAGUUGUUCGGACUGCGAGCGGUGAAGCAGCUCUCCCAGAAUUUCCUCCUGGACUUGAGGCUGACAGACAAAAUCGUAAGGAAAGCUGGCAAUCUAGAAGAUGUUUAUGUUUAUGAAGUGGGCCCCGGGCCUGGGGGAAUCACAAGAUCCAUUCUCAAUGCCAAUGUUGCUGAACUUCUGGUGGUUGAAAAGGACACUCGAUUUAUUCCUGGAUUACAGAUGCUUUCUGAUGCAGCACCGGGGAAACUGAGGAUUGUCCAUGGAGAUGUGCUGACAUACAAGGUAGAAAAGGCUUUUCCAGACCACAUUAGGAGACAGUGGGACGAAGAUCCUCCAAAUGUACACAUCAUUGGAAAUCUGCCUUUCAGUGUCUCAACUCCCCUGAUCAUCAAGUGGCUUGAAAAUGCCUCUCUUAGAGAUGGACCCUUCGUCUACGGCAGAACCCAGAUGACGUUAACAUUUCAAAAGGAGGUGGCAGAGAGACUUGUAGCCACUACAGGAAGCAAACAGCGCAGCCGCCUUUCCAUUAUGGCCCAGUACCUCUGCAAAGUUGAGCACCUCUUUACCAUUCCUGGGAAAGCUUUUGUUCCCAAACCAGAGGUUGACGUAGGAGUGGUACACUUUACACCGUUGAUACAGCCCAAGAUCGAGCAACCAUUCAAGCUGGUAGAAAAAGUUGUUCAGAACGUAUUUCAGUUCCGGAGGAAGUACUGCCACCGAGGGCUUGGAAUGCUCUUCCCUGAAGCUCAGCGCCUGGAAAGCACUGGAAGGCUGCUACAGCUGGCGGACAUUGACCCCACCCUCCGGCCCAUCCACCUCUCGCUCAUGCACUUUAAGAGCCUGUGUGACGUGUACAGGAAAAUGUGUGAGGAAGACCCGCAGCUCUUUGCUUAUAAUUUCAGAGAUGAGCUCAAGCAAAAGAGAAGAAAAGGCCAAGGGAAAGAUGAGGACCCAGAAAGCUGGGAGUCCUAACAGCUGCUUUGAGGGCUCCACAUCCACAGUGUGGGUCCUCUGCAUCUGUAAAGACAAACACCAUAUUGACCUUCAGGAGGCCUGGCAGAGCAAAGCCCCCAGACCCACGUUCAUCUCAGAGGAAGAAGCCUGCAUUACAUCAUGCCAGCUGAUAAAAGAAGGAAUCCACAUUGAAGUCGGUGUGUUUUAUGGAAGAAUGACUGGACUGGGGCAAGGGACAUGUUUUCUUCAUUAGAACAGAGCUAAUAAAAUUCUCACCUAAUUU